rnacentral:rRNA from 1 species
AAGUCGUAACAAGGUCUCCGUUGGUGAACCAGCGGAGGGAUCAUUACCGAGUUUACACUCAUAACCCUUUGUGAACAAUAUAACUUGUUGCUACGGCGGCUUCUCUGUCCCCUCGGGGGCGGGCUGCCCGCCGGCGUUUCAGUAUCUCUGUUUGUACCCGACGAUACAUCUGAGUGUUCUUAGCGAACUAUAAAAACUUUUAACAACGGAUCUCUUGGUUCUAGCAUCGAUGAAGAACGCAGCGAAACGCGAUAUGUAAUGUGAAUUGCAGAAUUCAGUGAAUCAUCGAAUCUUUGAACGCACAUUGCGCCUUCCAGUAUUCUGGGAGGCAUGCCUGUCCGAGCGUCGUUUCAACCCUCAAGCCCUCGUGGUUUGGUGUUGGAGUCCUACAGUCUUGUAGUCUCCCAAAACCAGUGGCGGACCCGUCGCGGCCCUUCCUUUGCGUAGUAGCAUUCGCCUCGCAUCGGGAGCCCACGGGACUUUCUGGCCUCUAAACCCCCCACAAGUCCGCUUCGGCGGCAUCAAGGUUGACCUCGGAUCAGGUAGGAAUACCCGCUGAACUUAA